rnacentral:rRNA from 1 species
GUAAGGAAUAUUGGUCAAUGGACGAAAGUCUGAACCAGCCAUGCCGCGUGGAGGAUGAAGGUCCUCUGGAUUGUAAACUUCUUUUAUAUGGGACGAAAAUGAGGCUUUCUAGCUCAACUGACGGUACCAUAUGAAUAAGCACCGGCUAACUCCGUGCCAGCAGCCGCGGUAAUACGGAGGGUGCAAGCGUUAUCCGGAUUCACUGGGUUUAAAGGGUGCGUAGGUGGAUUGGUAAGUCAGAGGUGAAAUCUCCGGGCUCAACUCGGAAACUGCCGUUGAUACUAUCAAUCUUGAAUAUUGUGGAGGUUAGCGGAAUAUGUCAUGUAGCGGUGAAAUGCUUAGAUAUGACAUAGAACACCAAUUGCGAAGGCAGCUGGCUACACAUAUAUUGACACUGAGGCACGAAAGCGUGGGGAUCAAACAGGAUUAGAAACCCUUGUAGUCC